AUUGAACGCUGGAGGCAGGCCUAACACAUGCAAGUCGAGCGAGCGGCGGACGGGUGAGUAAUGUCUGGGAAACUGCCUGAUGGAGGGGGAUAACUACUGGCAACGGUAGCUAAUACCGCAUACCCUCAGAUGUGCCCAGAUGGGAUUAGCUAGUAGGUGGGGUAACGGCUCAACUAGGCGACGAUCCCUAGAUGGUCUGAGAGGAUGACCAGACACACUGGAACGGAGACCCGGUCCAGACUCCUACGGGAGGCAGCAGUGGGGAAUAUUGCACAAGGGGCGCAAGCCUGAUGCAGCCAUGCCGCGUGUGUGAAGAAGGCCUUCGGGUUGUAAAGCACUUUCAGCGGGGAGGCGUUACCCGCAGAAGAAGCACCGGCUAACUCCGUGCCAGCAGCCGCGGUAAUUC
rnacentral:rRNA from 1 species